rnacentral:rRNA from 1 species
CCUACGGGAGGCAGCAGUGAGGAAUAUUGGUCAAUGGACGAGAGUCUGAACCAGCCAAGUAGCGUGAAGGAUGACUGCCCUAUGGGUUGUAAACUUCUUUUAUAUGGGACUAAAAUGUUCCACGUGUGGGAUUUUGUAUGUACCAUAUGAAUAAGGAUCGGCUAACUCCGUGCCAGCAGCCGCGGUAAUACGGAGGAUCCGAGCGUUAUCCGGAUUUAUUGGGUUUAAAGGGAGCGUAGGUGGAUUGUUAAGUCAGUUGUGAAAGUGUGCGGCUCAACCGUAAAAUUGCAGUUGAAACUGGCAGUCUUGAUUACAGUAGAGGUGGGCGGAAUUCGUGGUGUAGCGGUGAAAUGCUUAGAUAUCACGAAGAACUCCGAUUGCGAAGGCAGUUCACUGGACUGCAACUGACACUGAGGCUCGAAAGUGUGGGUAUCAAACAGGAUUAGAUACCCGGGUAGUC